GUCGGACACACACAGUGGCACAGUGGCAGAGUUGCUGCAGUUGCCCUCUCUCUGUGCUGCUGUCAACAGAAACCAGUUUGGGCAGAAACAGUCAUGUCACUGGCAAUACUUCUAGUGGUAGGACUAAUUGUUGGUGUGGUCCAGCAAAGUGAAAGCGAAAGUAAUGUCUUUCCCCUAAAUGAAGUCAAAGCCUGCUUUGCAGUUAAAUUUGCUACAUCUGCAAAUACGCCCUGUCUCACUGAAGAUUGUGAGAGCAAAAAGCUGAAGAAUGCCAUUGUUCCAUGUCUGUUACUGGGAUAUGAUCUUAUUUACCAAGACUCUUCUUACCAGUUGAAGGGAGAUUCCAGUGUCAGACGUAUGGCUCAUUGCGCUGUUGAAAAGUGUGCAGAGGGAUUAAUAACGAGCCAAGGGACCAUGGGAUUCCUCUCAGGUUUGGGGGAUUCUGUCUACUCUUGUCUCAUUGCCAUGAGCAACUGCGUGAAAACUGAACCCAAAUUCAAGCUCAAAUCUGAACUUUGAUUUAUCAGGCCAUGGCAUCAUAGUGUACAUUUUGUAUUGCUGACCAUGUAUUCAAUUAUUUUGUAUGACUGCAUGACCGGUUUCAAAGGUCUUGUGGUAAUCAAUGACACUUUGGAGUUUUUCUGUGUUCUUCCUUGCAUGUAAAAUGAUUAGUUGAUACUGACAUGAUUAGAACAUAUUCACUCAGGUAUGCUGGUGUUUAAGAACAAUGUCUAAUAAAACUAUCAGCGAAUACAGUAUUCAUUUAUGAAAACCAUAACAAAAUGCAUUUAAGUGAGGUGAUACACCGUGCGGUACAGUUUGAGUGAUACUGUAUUAAAUAUGAGUGGACACUAGAUGGCGCUCUAUAUCUCCAAAUGAACAGAGAUUCUGACUGAAUGGUUCUAUAAAUUGAGGCAAACUGGUUGUAAGAAAUUAAAGACGUUUCAGUGAGGGUAAA